ACGGGUGCGUAACGCGUAUACAAUCUACCUAUUACUGGAGUAUAGCCCGAAGAAAUUUGGAUUAAUCCUCCAUAGUAUUAUUGAAUGGCAUCAUUUUAUAAUUAAAACUACGGUGGUAAUAGAUGAGUAUGCGUCCUAUUAGUUUGUUGGUAAGGUAACGGCUUACCAAGGCAUCGAUAGGUAGGGGUCCUGAGAGGGAGAUCCCCCACACUGGUACUGAGACACGGACCAGACUCCUACGGGAGGCAGCAGUGAGGAAUAUUGGACAAUGGAGGAAACUCUGAUCCAGCCAUGCCGCGUGCAGGAAGACUGCCCUAUGGGUUGUAAACUGCUUUUAUAGAGGAAGAAACCUCCCUACGUGUAGGGAGCUGACGGUACUCUACGAAUAAGGAUCGGCUAACUCCGUGCCAGCAGCCGCGGUAAUACGGAGGAUCCAAGCGUUAUCCGGAAUCAUUGGGUUUAAAGGGUCCGUAGGCGGGCAGUUAAGUCAGUGGUGAAAGUCUUCCGCUCAACGGGAGAAUUGCCAUUGAUACUGAUUGUCUUGAGUCAUUAUGAAGUGGUUAGAAUGAGUAGUGUAGCGGUGAAAUGCAUAGAUAUUACUCAGAAUACCGAUUGCGAAGGCAGAUCACUAAUAAUGUACUGACGCUGAUGGACGAAAGCGUAGGUAGCGAACAGGAUUAGAUACCCUGGUAGUCUACGCCGUAAACGAUGGUUACUAGCUGUUUGGACGAUUGAGUCUGAGUGGCUAAGCGAAAGUGAUAAGUAACCCACCUGGGGAGUACGUUCGCAAGAAUGAAACUCAAAGGAAUUGACGGGGGCCCGCACAAGCGGUGGAGCAUGUGGUUUAAUUCGAUGAUACGCGAGGAACCUUACCAGGGCUUAAAUGCAGUCUGACGUAUCUGGAAACAGAUAUUUCUUCGGACAGAUUGCAAGGUGCUGCAUGGUUGUCGUCAGCUCGUGCCGUGAGGUGUCAGGUUAAGUCCUAUAACGAGCGCAACCCCUGUGGUUAGUUGCCAGCGAGUAAUGUCGGGAACUCUAGCCAGACUGCCGGUGCAAACCGCGAGGAAGGUGGGG
rnacentral:rRNA from 1 species